rnacentral:rRNA from 1 species
AAGUCGUAACAAGGUCUCCGUAGGUGAACCUGCGGAGGGAUCAUUAUUGAAUGGUCUUUGACCUUCUACCCCUCCAAACCUGUGGAAGCAAAAAAUGUGCUUCGGCGUCCUUUUUGGGCGCCGCUUUUAUGCAUAAAUCUGUGUGUCGUCUGAAUCAUACAAAAGAAUCAAAACUUUCAACAAAGGAUCUCUUGGCUCUCGCAUCGAUGAAGAACGCAGCGAAGCGCGAAAUGUAGUGUGAAUCGCAGAACAUUGUGAAUCAUCGAAUCUUUGAACGCACAUUGCGCCUCUCUUAACAGGGAGGCAUGCCUGUCUGAGUCUCAUUUAAUCUAUAGGCCCUAUCGGGUUUGUGCCUGGGCGUUCGCCUGACCGGCGUCGCCUCAAAGUCAUCUGUCUUAUGAGCGGACGANANCCUUUCGGACUGACCGUUUGUGGNNNNNAGAGGCAUAGACCGACGCGGNCCNGCUCNCUNUCCNUUGGAACAGGAGGUCAUGGAGGGUGAGAACCCCGUCUGUGGCUCGGAAGCCGUCGUCCUUGUGUCUUGCCCUCGUAAAGUCGGGUUGUUUGGGAACGCAGCUCAAAAUGGGUGGUAAAUUUCACCUAAGGCUAAAUAUUGGCGAGAGACCGAUAGCAAACAAGUAGAGUGAUCGAAAGAUGAAAAGUACUUUGAAAAGAGAGUGAAACAGUACGUGAAAUUGUUGAAAGGGAAGCGUUUGGCAUCAGCCCAUGGCGCCCAAAGACCAUCCUGGCUUCUGUCCGGUGCACUUUUUGGGCGUCGGGCCAGCGUCGACUUUGCCCGCUGGAGAAAGGCCUUGGGGAUGUGGCUCCCUUCGGGGAGCGUUAUAACCCUCGGCGUCAUGCAGUGUGGUGGGGUCGAGGUCCGCGGUUUAUCCUAGGACGCUGGCGUAAUGGUUCCAAGCGACCCGUCUUGAAACACGGACC